rnacentral:rRNA from 1 species
UAAACCAUGCACCGAAGCUGCGGCAGCGACACUAUGUGUUGUUGGGUAGGGGAGCGUUCUGUAAGCCUGCGAAGGUGUGCUGUGAGGCAUGCUGGAGGUAUCAGAAGUGCGAAUGCUGACAUAAGUAACGAUAAAGCGGGUGAAAAGCCCGCUCGCCGGAAGACCAAGGGUUCCUGUCCAACGUUAAUCGGGGCAGGGUGAGUCGACCCCUAAGGCGAGGCCGAAAGGCGUAGUCGAUGGGAAACAGGUUAAUAUUCCUGUACUUGGUGUUACUGCGAAGGGGGGACGGAGAAGGCUAUGUUAGCCGGGCGACGGUUGUCCCGGUUUAAGCAUGUAGGCUGGUUGUCCAGGCAAAUCCGGAUAAUCAAGGCUGAGGUGUGAUGACGAGGCACUACGGUGCUGAAGUAACAAAUGCCCUGCUU